rnacentral:rRNA from 1 species
AGCGAACGCUAGCGGCGGGCUUAACACAUGCAAGUCGAGCGCCUUCUUCGGAAGGAGCGGCGAACGGGUGAGUAACACGUAGAUACGUGCCCCGAGGUGAGGAACAACCGUUGGAAACGACGGCUAAUGCCACAUAUGGACUACGGUUCAAAGUCUUCGGACGCCUUGGGAGCGGUCUGCGGCCCAUUAUUUAAUCCUAGUUGGUGGGGUAACGGCCUACCAAGGGUACGAUGGGUAGCUGGUCUGAGAGGAUGAUCAGCCACACUGGGACUGAGACACGGCCCAGACUCCUACGGGAGGCAGCAGUGGGGAAUAUUGCGCAAUGGGGGAAACCCUGACGCAGCCACGCCGCGUGUGUGAUGAAGGCCCUCGGGUCGUAAAGCACUGUCGGGAGGGAAGAAGUUCUGACGGUACCUCCCAAGAAAGCACCGGCUAACUCCG